GACACCUACAAUGCGGACAUUGACUGCCAGUGGAUCGACAUAACCGACGUGCAGCCUGGGAACUACAUCCUCAAGGUGCACGUGAACCCAAAGUAUAUUGUUUUGGAGUCUGACUUCACCAACAACGUGGUGAGAUGCAACAUUCACUACACAGAUCCUGAUUUCUGGGAGGGACAGAUGGCCAAUCUCUCCCCCUCCAAAGCAGGCCCUGCUCCCCGGGCAGCCUCCCGCCGAGGGGCCCAGCCCCCAACCCACAGGCAGGGGCAUCCCUCCCUGCCGGCCUCAGGGAGCAAACGUGGAUGAAAACCACAGGGAUUCCGGAUGCCAGACCCCAUUUUAUACUUCACUUUUCUCUACAGUGUUGUUUUGUUGUUGGUGGUUUUUAUUUUUUAUACUUUGGCCAUACCACAGAGCUAGAUUGCCCAGGUCUGGGCUGAAUAAAACAAGGUUUUUCUA
rnacentral:sRNA from 1 species